UACGAAGGGGGCUAGCGUUGCUCGGAAUUACUGGGCGUAAAGGGCGCGUAGGCGGGUACUUAAGUCAGAGGUCAAAUCCCAGGGCUCAACCCUGGAACUGCCUUUGAUACUGGGUACCUAGAGUUCGGGAGAGGUGUGUGGAACUCCGAGUGUAGAGGUGAAAUUCGUAGAUACUCGGAAGAACACCAGUGGCGAAGGCGACACACUGGCCCGAUACUGACGCUGAGGCGCGAAAGCGUGGGGAGCAAACAGG
rnacentral:rRNA from 1 species